rnacentral:lncRNA from 1 species
UUUCAGAGAUGGACAAAAAAACCUCUAUUUUGUGUUGUGGAUUUUUUUGUACAUAAACAGAAAACUCCCAAAUACUCCAAAGAUGACUUUCCUGCCCCUACUUCCCAGUAUGACUGAGUAGGAGAGAGGCCUUAAGUCAAGAUCCCCAGGGUUUGAGAACAGGGAGGGCCCAGCCGCCUGCCUGGGUCUCUCUCUAUUUAUAUAUUUAAGUUCACAGCGUGUCUGAACACUGACCAGCCUGGGGCCUGUGCCUCUCGAGGCCCACCUGUGCCUCUCGAGGCCCGUGGCCCUGGGCUUCACCCUGGCUCAUUUUGCACCUUUCCUGGCAGGUGGGAGGACCCUUGUGCCCUCCUUCCCAAUCUCUUUUCUCUGGCUCCUCAAGGGCCUGGAACCUAUGUUGUAAUUUUACUUUUUACUUUCAAAGUUGUAGCAAA